AGCGCUGCGCCGCGUGUGGGAUGAAAUGCUCCUUCGGGAUGUAAACCGUCAAUGUUGGUGGGGAAGACAACUGACGGUACCCACCGAGAAAGCCCCGGCUAACUACGUGCCAGCAGCCGCGGUAAUACGUAGGGGGCUAGCGUUAUCCAGAAUUACUGGGCGUAAAGCGCGUGUAGGCGGCUGGUUAAGUGUUGACUGUGAAAUCUUCGGGCUCA
rnacentral:rRNA from 1 species